rnacentral:rRNA from 1 species
UACGGAAGGUCCGGGCGUUAUCCGGAUUUAUUGGGUUUAAAGGGAGCGUAGGCCGCCGAUUAAGCGUGUUGUGAAAUGCCGCAGCUCAACUGUGGCACUGCAGCGCGAACUGGUUGGCUUGAGUGCGCGGAAGGCAGGCGGAAUUUGUGGUGUAGCGGUGAAAUGCUUAGAUAUCACGAAGAACCCCGAUUGCGAAGGCAGCACACUAAGCCGUAACUGACGCUGAAGCUCGAAAGUGCGGGUAUCGAACAGG